GCAAGGUGCAAAGACGAUUAAUUCCCCCUGCAGGAGGUUCUGCCCUCGUGGAGGGAGCUGCACUAGUGGAGCUAUGAACCCGGCAGAUGAAAUGCUUCUCAACUCUGCCACUUGGGAAGGGUAAUGCGUCCUAAGCCCCGGCAAGAUCUUCUGGAAGAGCACACUGUGGUAAUUGUAAAGGAAAGUGUAGAGUGCCAGCGCUUGCUACAAGAAGAGACGACCACGGCCAGCAGCUGGAGUUUGAAUUGGAUACUGAAGCAUGCGGGAAGAAAGGCUACUUGAAAAUCUUCCAGCAGAAUGAUUUUCCAGUGGGAAAGAGUGUAUUUCACAGAAUCAAAAUGUUUCACAGGAAUGAAGGGAUUUGGUUCCAUUUUUCAACCAAAGAACCAUCCAGAUAUGCUGUUUCCAGAAGUAUGCAGGCAAACAUUUGGGUGGAUGAUGUCUUGAUGGACUCAGAGUGGAAAAGGAGUUGGAACGUGGAAGUCAUAGCCUGCUUGGAGUUGAAUAGGGAAUCCAAACAUCUGGGGACUGCAAAAUCCAUCAGGAAGCCCAGACAGAUGAGACGCGUCAUGGCAGGAAGGUUUGGUGCUGCCAUUGGAGAGACAAGGAACAGCAGGAGGUUCCCGCAGCUCCUUUUGGGCAAGAAAUGUUAGCACAACAUGGAUGCAUAUACUAAACAACAAGAGGAAGAAGAAGAGAGAGCUAAAAAAGGUUUUCUCAAGUCUCCUGCUGUUCUGCAUCUCUCUCGCAUUGCUCUGAUCCAUCUGUACAUGUCACUGGCUGGCAGGAUGACUGCUUCCUGCUUCAUGAUUUCGUAAUUAAUUUUUUUCUAUAUCAAAGGAAUUUAAAGGAAAUUAUUACAAACAGUUUGGCCACACUGCAUUGAGUCAUUGGGUUCUAUUUUAUUACC